rnacentral:lncRNA from 1 species
GGAGGAAGUUCUCUAGGAAACAGAGUUGGAAUGUCCUCGUUGGAUAUUAAGAAAUUGAAUAGCAAAGCAUACAAAUGCAGGAAAGGAUCAAAAUAGGUUUUGUCCGUCUUUCAAUAGGUACGGCUGCUGUUCAUCCUCCAUGAAAAUAAAUAACUGAAGAACUUGUAAUGUGUGUAAAUAAACUUAAUAAAUUGAUAUAACCAAUGACAAU